rnacentral:rRNA from 1 species
UACUAGAGUAGCACUCGCAUAUCAAUAAGCGGAGGAAAAGAAACUAACUAGGAUUCCCUCAGUAACGGCGAGUGAAGCGGGAAGAGCUCAAAUUUGAAAUCUUCAAGGUUCUACCUUGACGAAUUGUAGUUUAUAGAAGUGUUUUCUGUUAGUGGAGUUUGGUAAAGUUCUUUGGAAUAGGACAUCAUAGAGGGUGAGAAUCCCGUAUUUGGACCAUUAUUCCCUAGCUGUGUGAUACACUUUCAAAGAGUCGGAUUGUUUGGGAAUGCAGUCCAAAAUGGGUGGUAAAUUUCAUCUAAAGCUAAAUAUUGGCGAGAGACCGAUAGCGAACAAGUACCGUGAGGGAAAGAUGAAAAGAACUUCGAAAAGAGAGUCAAACAGUACGUGAAAUUGUCAAAAGGGAAGCGUUUGACACCAGUGUUGUUUUUCGAAAAUCAAUUCAAUAAUUUUUGAUUUUAAGUAGUAUUGACUUCAUCAGCUUGCUGCUUUCUUUUCAGGAAUUAUUGAAUGCACUUUUCAGUUAACAAGUCAACAUCAAUUUCUUUUGUUGUAAAAGGGUAAGAGGAAGGUGGCUUACGCUUCGGCGUAAGUGUUUAUAGCCUUUUACCUCUGCAAUCGGAGAGAUUGAGGACAGCAGCGUAGACUCUUCGGGGUUAGAUACACUUGUGCUAAGCUAUAGCCUUGUAUAGACAACUUGUUGACUAUGCUCAGUCAUGUAGCUUACUCGCUUGUGCUAUUUUACCUACGCUUAGGAUGUUGAUAGUCACAGCGUGUAC